rnacentral:rRNA from 1 species
UACGAAGGGUGCAAGCGUUACUCGGAAUUACUGGGCGUAAAGCGUGCGUAGGUGGUGAGUUAAGUCUGUCGUGAAAGCCCCGGGCUCAACCUGGGAAUGGCGAUGGAUACUGGCUCGCUAGAGUGCGGUAGAGGAGAGUGGAAUUCCCGGUGUAGCAGUGAAAUGCGUAGAGAUCGGGAGGAACAUCAGUUGCGAAGGCGGCUCUCUGGACCAGCACUGACACUGAGGCACGAAAGCCAGGGGGAGCGAACGGG